rnacentral:rRNA from 1 species
GAAAUAAACCUGAUGAGUUGCUGCUGGCUCUCUAGGGAGCAUGUGCACACUUGUCAUCUUUAUAUCUCCACCUGUGCACCUUUUGUAGACCUGGAUAUCUCUCUGAGUGCUUAGCACUUCAGGUUUGAGGAUUGACUUUAUUGUUCUCUCUUUAUAUUUCCAGGCCUAUGUUUCUUCAUAUACCCCAUUGUAUGUUAUAGAAUGUAGUAAAUAGGCCUUUGUGCCUAUAAACCUAUACAACUUUCAGCAACGGAUCUCUUGGCUCUCGCAUCGAUGAAGAACGCAGCGAAAUGCGUUAAGUAAUGUGAAUUGCAGAAUUCAGUGAAUCAUCGAAUCUUUGAACGCACCUUGCGCUCCUUGGUAUUCCGAGGAGCAUGCCUGUUUGAGUGUCAUUAAUAUAUCAACCUCUUCAACUUUGUUGAGUGUUGGAUGUGGGGGNUUUUUUUUUGCUGGCCUCUCUCUCUGAGUUCAGCUCCCCUGAAAUACAUUAGCGGAACAAUUUGUUCAUUUGGCGUGAUAAUUAUCUAUGCUAUUGACAUGAAGCAGUUCAGCUUAUAACAGUCCAUUGACUUGGACAAUUUUAUUAUUAUUAAUGUGACCUCAAAUCAG